UACGAAGGGUGCAAGCGUUACUCGGAAUCACUGGGCGUAAAGGGCUCGUAGGCGGUUUGUCGCGUCGGGAGUGAAAACAGCGGGGCUUAACCCCGUGCCUGCUUCCGAUACGGGCAGACUAGAGGUAUGCAGGGGAGAACGGAAUUCCUGGUGUAGCGGUGGAAAUGGCGUAGAUAUCUGGAGGAAUACCGGUGGCGAAGGCGGCAUCCUGGACCGAGAUUGACACUAAAGCGCGAAAGCCA
rnacentral:rRNA from 1 species